rnacentral:rRNA from 1 species
GACGAACGCUGGCGGUGUGCCUAAUACAUGCAAGUCGAGCGAAGUCUUUCUGGUGCCUGCAUUAGAAAAAUUUAGCGGCGAACGGGUGAGUAAAAUGUAACGAACUUGCCUUAUAGAUUGGGACAACCAUUGGAAAAGAUAGCUAAUAACGGAUAACAGCAUUCCUCGCAUGAGAGAUAUUCAAAAGUUGGUUAUGCUUAGACUAUGAGAUGGCCUUGUGGUGCAUUAGCUAGUUGGUGGGGUAAAGGCCCACCAAGGCGACGAUGCAUAGCCGACCUGAGAGGAUGAUCAGCCACACUGGAACUGAGACACGGCCCAGACUCCUACGGGAGGCAGCAGUAGGGAAUCUUCCACAAUGGGCGAAAGCCUGACGGAGCAACGCCGCGUGAGUGAAGAAGGAUUUCGGUUCGUAAAGCUCUGUUGUUAGGAAAGAAAAGAUAUAGGGUAACAAUCCGUGUAUCAGACGGUACCUAACCAGAAAGCCACGGCUAACUACGUG